rnacentral:rRNA from 1 species
AUGCAGAAGGUGCGGCUCAAGUGGGUGAAGAACCGCGGGCUGGACCACAUCAUCGAUCGGACCACCUCCAUCCGCGCGUCCUGCCUCAUGCUCGACUACCUCGCCCGCCAGCCGUCGUCCCCGGUGCCGGCCCGCGCCCUCGCGCGCUUCCAGAAGCCGCUCGGCCUCACCGUCCCCGUGCUCCGCUUCCUCCGCCGCCACCCGACCCUCUUCGCCGAGCAGCCNNNNNCGCGCUUCCCCACCCUCCCCGCCUUCUCCCUCACCUCCGCCUCCGACAUCCUCCUCGCCCGCCUCGCCCGCGCCUCCGCCGUCGACUCCCACCUCCGCCUCGCGCGCCUCCUCCUCCUCACCCGCUCCAGGUCGCUCCCGCUGGCCUCCAUCCUCCCGCUCCGCUUCGACCUCGGCCUGCCCUACGACUUCGCCUCCUCCUUCCCCUCCUCCCACCCCGACCUCUUCGCCGUCUCCAACAACCACAUCUCGCUCUCCACCUCCCGCCUCCCCGACGACAUCGCCAUAUCCUCCCUCCAGCGCCGCCACGCCGAGGCCAUCAUCGGGGCGACCUACCGCGACCUGUCCCGUCCGCCGUCCUCGUCGCAUGCCCCCCUCGCGUUUCCGAUGCGGUUCCCGCGUGGGUACGGAGGGAUGAAGAAGGUCAAGGCCUGGAUGGACGAUUUCCACCGCCUGCCUUACAUCUCCCCGUAUGAUGAUGCCUCAGGGAUCGACCCUGACAGCGACAUCUACGAGAAGAGGAACAUUGGUUUGCUGCAUGAGUUGCUCGGGCUGAUGGUGCACAAGAUGGUCCGGAGGAAUGCGAUCCGGUUGCUCCGCGAGGAGCUUGGCCUGCCUCACAAGUUCACGAGGUUGUUUACAAGGUAUCCUGGAGUGUUCUACCUGUCGUUGAAGUGCAAGACGACGACACUCGUGCUUCGCGAGGGGUACGAGAGGGGGAAGCUUGUGGAGAAGCACCCCCUCGCGGCGGUGAGGGACAAGGUACAAUAUGUGAUGCGCACUGGCGUGUUGUACCGUGGGAAGGGCUUGUCCAAGCUGGUUUUAGACGAGGAUGACGAUGAAGAGGAGGGUACACUGGAUGGAGAUCAGGAGUUUCAAGGAGAGGGGAUGGAUGAGGAUGCUGAUGUUGAGUGCUUUGGAAUGGAGAUUGUGGAUGACGACGGGCCUGGCAAUGAUGAUUAUGAUGAACGCGAUAGUUAUGAUUGA